AGAGUCUUGUGUUUGGAGCCAAGGAUGAUUUGCCUACUAUAUAUUCAAACGAAGAGUUGCUUUUUUCGAUUAAUUAAUAAGAAACUCUUUGUUCAUGAGAUCAUACUUACCCAGGCAAGUCACGCCUUGGCUGCUGACACCCUCUCU
rnacentral:pre_miRNA from 1 species